GACGAACGCUGGCGGCGUGCUUAACACAUGCAAGUCGAACGGAAAGGCCCUGCUUUUGUGGGGUGCUCGAGUGGCGAACGGGUGAGUAACACGUGAGUAACCUGCCCUUGACUUUGGGAUAACUUCAGGAAACUGGGGCUAAUACCGGAUAGGAGCUCCUGCUGCAUGGUGGGGGUUGGAAAGUUUCGGCGGUUGGGGACGGACUCGCGGCUUAUCAGCUUGUUGGUGGGGUAGUGGCUUACCAAGGCUUUGACGGGUAGCCGGCCUGAGAGGGUGACCGGCCACAUUGGGACUGAGAUACGGAGCAGACGCCAACGGGAGGCAGCAGUGGGGAAUAUUGCACAAUGGGCGGAAGCGUGAUGCAGAAACGCCGGGUGCGGGAUGACGGCCUUCGGGUUGUAAACCGCUUUCGCCUGUGACGAAGCGUGAGUGACGGUAAUGGGUAAAGAAGCACCGGCUAACUACGUG
rnacentral:rRNA from 1 species